ACGCUCAGGCCUCUCCUCAUUAUGACGACUUAAUCUUUCGCCUUUUACUAAAGAUUACCGUGGGGAGGGGCACUUCAAUGAGCCUAUAGGCCAAUUUUUGGAAGGCCAAUACCGUUUGGUAG
rnacentral:snRNA from 1 species